UACAUUUUUCAAAUUCCACGCAGCUGCUUCCACUUCCGUCCCAAACUGAACUGGGAUAUAGUAUACCUCAGUAUCAUUAUGUGAUUAUCUUGUGGUUGUUACUUAUUGUUAAGGUGAGGGUAAGGACAGCAGUCCAGAGUACAGCUAAUCCUGAUGUUACUUAUGUGUACAGUCCAUACAGUAGGUGGGCCUCAGUCAGUGGCGUUAUAAUAGAAGUUCCUUCUGGAGCACCAACAAUAAUACCAGUUGAUGAUAAUAAUGACAGGACACUUGAGAUUGUUCUUCCAACAGUUGUUGGGGCCAUUGUUGUUGCAGUAUUUAUUUUAUCGAUUGUAAUAUUAUUAUAUAAAAUAAAGUAAGGAGAGAGGAGGGAAUGAUGUUUGGAGAGAGAAGGGGUUGAAUAAAAUGAGAGAAAUGAGCUUAUUAUUGACAUGGAGAGACAAGAGG